GGCCAAAGGUUUACUGUGUAGGUACAAUCAUGUGGAGUCUAACGAAAUUAGAUUUUAUAUUUUAUGAUUUUUUUGUAAUUUACUAUAAUUUUCAAAUAUUUAGCCGAAAUAAAUAAAAAAUAAAAAGACAAAACCUUUAUAGCAAAAACUUUGUACUAAAGCAUACCAUAUUAUAUAUUCAUUGUGUAGAUCUACUUAUGCGGAGUUCAACAAAAUUAGAUUUUCUAUUUUAUAAAUUUUUUGUGAUUUAUUAUGAUUUUUCAAAGAUUCAGCCAAAAAAAUUAAAAAAGAAAAAGAAAAAACCACCGUCGUUGUAGCAAAACCACUAUUCACAGUAGCAAAACCACCUUUGAAACCACUCCAAAGAGAUAAAAUGCAUGAUUUAAAAAGUUAAGGGAGGUAAUUUGCUCGGUUUUAGAGUUGAGGAAGGAAAAACAGAUUUUCAUGAA
rnacentral:lncRNA from 1 species